UUGGAGGGCAAGUCUGGUGCCAGCAGCCGCGGUAAUUCCAGCUCCAAUAGCGUAUAUUAAAGUUGUUGCAGUUAAAAAGCUCGUAGUUGAAUUUCGGGAUUAGUACGCUGGUCGUGCCUUCGGUAUGUACUGGUGUUACUGGUUCCUACCUUCUGACGAACCGUCAUGUCAUUAAUUUGGUGUGGCGGGGAAUCAGGACUGUUACUUUGAAAAAAUUAGAGUGUUUAAAGCAGGCUCGCGCUUGAAUACAUUAGCAUGGAAUAACGAAAUAGGACGUUCGAUCCUAUUUUGUUGGUUUCUAGGAUCGACGUAAUGAUUAAUAGGGAUAGUUGGGGGCAUUAGUAUUCAAUUGUCAGAGGUGAAAUUCUUGGAUUUAUUGAAGACUAACUACUGCGAAAGCAUUUGCCAAGGAUGUUUUCAUUAAUCAAGAACGAAAGUUAGGGGAUCGAA
rnacentral:rRNA from 1 species